UCAGCUCUGCCUGACACUAUUUGUGUGGACAAUGAGGAUCUGUUGCAGAACAGAGAGCUAGCAGUGGAAGUGAUCAAGCAAAAUCUCUUGAAAGCACAAGCAAGAAUGAAAUUCUUUGCUGACAGGAACAAAAAAGAAAGAGAGUUGAUGGUGGGAGAAAUGGUGUAUCUUAAGCUGCAACCUCACAGACAUACUUCUCUCAGUCUGCACAGGCACAUUAAGCUACACUCCAAGUUUUAUGGGCCAUUCAAAAUUCUGAGUAAAAUUGGAAAUCAUGCAUACAAGUUGCUCUUGCCUGAAGAUUGCCAGUUGCAUGACACAUUCCAU
rnacentral:rRNA from 1 species